rnacentral:rRNA from 1 species
CCUACGGGGGGCAGCAGUGGGGAAUAUUGCACAAUGGGGGAAACCCUGAUGCAGCGACGCCGCGUGAGUGAAGAAGUAUUUCGGUAUGUAAAGCUCUAUCAGCAGGGAAGAAACCCACCCUUUGGGGUGGCUGACGGUACCUGACUAAGAAGCCCCGGCUAACUACGUGCCAGCAGCCGCGGUAAUACGUAGGGGGCAAGCGUUAUCCGGAUUUACUGGGUGUAAAGGGAGCGUAGACGGCAUAGCAAGUCUGAAGUGAAAGCCCGUGGCUCAACCGCGGAACUGCUUUGGAAACUGUUAAGCUG